GAUGAACGCUGGCGGCGUGCCUAAUACAUGCAAGUCGAGCGAACAGACGAGGAGCUUGCUCCUCUGACGUUAGCGGCGGACGGGUGAGUAACACGUGGAUAACCUACCUAUAAGACUGGGAUAACUUCGGGAAACCGGAGCUAAUACCGGAUAAUAUAUUGAACCGCAUGGUUCAAUAGUGAAAGACGGUUUUGCUGUCACUUAUAGAUGGAUCCGCGCCGCAUUAGCUAGUUGGUAAGGUAACGGCUUACCAAGGCAACGAUGCGUAGCCGACCUGAGAGGGUGAUAGGCCACACUGGAACUGAGCCACGGUCCAGACGCCUACGGGAGGCAGCAGUAGGGAAUCUGCCGCAAUGGGCGAAAGCCUGACGGAGCAACGCCGCGUGAGUGAUGAAGGUCUUCGGAUCGUAAAGCUCUGUUAUUAGGGAAGAACAAAUGUGUAAGUAACUAUGCACGUCUUGACGGUACCUAAUCAGAAAGCCACGGCUAACUACGUG
rnacentral:rRNA from 1 species